rnacentral:lncRNA from 1 species
CGAAGGCGACUGCAGUCGGCCCUUCCCGGAGUCCCGCUUCGGGGCCGUCCCUGGGCGCUGCACGUUGGUCCGCCCGAGUCUUGGGGUGGCUUGGGAGAAUGGGUUUGGGGCUCAGGCCUCGAGGUUGCCAAGAGCCUCGCGCUUCCUCAUUUUCCCGCCAGGUCAACGUAACCCGGCAUUUCUCCGAGGAGAGGCCUAAAAAUGAGUGGGGCUGCCGCCCGACUCCUGUGAGAGCCUCGGGGCUUCCAUUCCCGACACCUGGAGGAAAGACCGGCAUUUCUUCCUCGGGCGAAGAACCCAGCAACUGACAUCUGAGAGGGCAUCAGACUAGUAUGGUGGCAGAUGACACAGAAGACCAUAUACACACAAUUGGCUCAUCCUUCUCCGAGGCACGAAACUCAACUCGUGACAAAACUUCAGCACACAUUUUGCAUCAUUAAUGUGGCUCUGUCAAAAAUGAUGGAGUGGGG